CCUACGGGAGGUAGCAGUAGGGAAUCUUUCACAAUGGGCGAAAGCCUGAUGGAGCAACGCCGCGUGCAGGAUGAAGGCCUUCGGGUUGUAAACUGCUUUUAUAAGCGAGAAAUAUGAUGGUAACUUAUGAAUAAGGAUCGGCUAACUACGUGCCAGCAGCCGCGGUCAUACGUAGGAUCCGAGCAUUAUCCGGAGUGACUGGGUGUAAAGAGUUGCGUAGGUGGCAUAAUAAGUAGCUAGUGAAAUCUGGUGGCUCAACCAUUCAGACUAUUAGCUAAACUGUUAAGCUCGAGACCGUUAGUGGUAACUGGAAUUUCUAGUGUAGGAGUGAAAUCCGUAGAUAUUAGAAGGAACACCAAUAGCGUAGGCAGGUUGCUGGGACGGUUCUGACACUAAGGCACGAAAGCGUAGGGAGCAAACGGGAUUAGAUACCCCAGUAGUC
rnacentral:rRNA from 1 species